rnacentral:rRNA from 1 species
GACGAACGCUGGCGGCGUGCUUAACACAUGCAAGUCGAACGGAAAGGCCCUGCUUGCAGGGUACUCGAGUGGCGAACGGGUGAGUAACACGUGGGUGAUCUGCCCUGCACUUCGGGAUAAGCCUGGGAAACUGGGUCUAAUACCGGAUAGGAGCCAUUUUUAGUGUGAUGGUUGGAAAGUUUUUUCGGUGUAGGAUGAGCUCGCGGCCUAUCAGCUUGUUGGUGGGGUAAUGGCCUACCAAGGCGGCGACGGGUAGCCGGCCUGGGAGGGUGGACGGCCACAUUGGGGCUGAGAUACGGCCCAGACUCCUACGGGAGGCAGCAGUGGGGAAUAUUGCACAAUGGGCGCAAGGCUGAUGCAGCGACGCCGCGUGGGGGAUGACGGCCUUCGGGUUGUAAACUCCUUUCGCUAGGGACGAAGCUUUUUGUGACGGUACCUAGAUAAGAAGCACCGGCUAACUACGUG